AUCACCCUGAAGCUCUCGCUUGGUUUCCCACUGAAGCUAAGCAGCGUUGAGUUUGGUCAGUACCUGGAUGGGAAACCUCCUGGGGGAAAACUAAGGUUGAUG
rnacentral:rRNA from 1 species